GGGCCCGCACAAGCGGUGGAGCAUGUGGUUUAAUUCGAUGCAACGCGAAGAACCUUACCUGGGCUCUAAUGCGAGUGACCGCUCCUGAAAGGGAGCUUUCCUUCGGGACACGAAGCAAGGUGCUGCAUGGUUGUCGUCAGCUCGUGCCGUGAGGUGUUGGGUUAAGUCCCGCAACGAGCGCAACCCCUAUCUUUAGUUGCCAGCGAUUCGGUCGGGGACUCUAGAGAGACUGCCUGCGCAAGCAGAGAGGAAGGCGGGGACGACGUCAAGUCCUCAUGGCCCUUAUGGGCUGGGCUACACACGUGCUACAAUGGCAGUGACAGAGGGACGCUACUUCGCGAGAAGAUGCA
rnacentral:rRNA from 1 species